GUAGAGAUGUGGUUUUACCACAUUGCUCAGGCUGGUCUUAAACUCCUGGGCUCAAGACAUCCAUCCACCUUAGACUUCUAAAGUUUUGAGGUUAUAGGCAGCAGCCACCAUGCCCAGCCCUGUUUUCUUUUGUGCUGGUUUAUUGCAAAGGCCUCCAAUUUUCUUCCUGACUUCUAGGCUUGCUCACUUCAGCCUAUACACUGAAGCCAGAGGAAUUUUUCUAAAAGGCAAAUUUGGGUCAAAAUGGUCUUGAUUAAAACCUGCUGGCGACCACCCAUUGCCUUUAAGAUAAAAUCCAAACUAAUUUGGCCACAGGACCUGGUAAGAGCUGGCCUUGGCUUACCUUCCCAGUUUUAUCCUGCACCACCCUCCCCAUAUCCUUACCCUCCAGCCACAUAGAAUGUCAGUUUCCUUGGGGGACUUUACCGGUCCUUCUUCAGGAAACCAUCCCCAACCCUCAUCAUCACUCUUUGACUCUCAUCUUUGCUCAUCUUUAGCCUCAGCUGAGGUGUCUCACCCCAUUCUCUGUGAUGUGACAAGAAGCCCCUUGGGAGCAUUUCAGUCCCACUCAACUUUUGUCAUUGUGCUCCUCACAGUCUGAAACAUCUAAGCUGAAGAGUCCCCUGAGGACAAGUACUAUCCUGUGGUUUCAUGACCUUUCUUCCAUUUGUGGUUCUUGCCAAGUUAAAUUUAAAUUACAUCUUAUCAAGAUGGAUAAACCCAAGUUUUCCAGUGCUGGAAUAUAGAAAAUGGAUGGGCAAAUAAGUCCCACUCAACACCCAUAGCCAAGGCAUGGAGACUUCAACACACCUGGGCCCUAGACAUCACCUUUCAUUCUGGAGCUACCAUGAAAGACUUCAGAGUUCAGGAGGAGACUGACUGGGCCUCAUGUUAUUCAGGUACAAAAAGACUUGGACAAUAACUUAAAAAUGAUCAAAUAAUAGUGCAUGCAUCAAGUGCAAUGGGAAGCUCUUCUUGAGAGUGGGAGAAGCUUCCAGAGAAGGGGACAGUGAAGCCAGCUUUUGAAAGAUGAGGAAGAGUUGUGUGAGAGUGGUGAGGGAAGGGGGAUGUGGAGGGAUGGGGAAUGGGCAGGGAAACCAGCACUGUAAAGACCUGGACAAUUAAGAUGGCACAUUUGGUUCAGGGAAUGGGGAAUUAAGUGUGGCAGGAAUGCUUUGGAGAGAUAGUAAUUUGCUUGUAUGGAAUUUUGCCUGAGAGACCUCACAACAGUUUCUAAUCUGGUGAUGUUAUCAUCCAUCACUGUCCUUGUCAGAUAGUUUGAAAUAAGUAUGAUGAUCACAGUAACAUCAAGUAUAAUAUUUCAUGAAUUCUCACAAAAUCACAGGCAGGUACCACAGUUAUCCCCAUUUUAUAAGUGAGAUGAUAAAGACUUAGGGAUAAUGAGUGAUUUGCCCAAGUUCACAUGGAUAUUAAGCUGAGUCAAGUGUAGGGUCUGGUUUGACUUUAAUGCUUGCUUUGCUCAUGAGCACCACGUAUUGCUUCUCCUAUGCAGUUAGGCAGGUAGGUGAAAGGAAAGCCUGUGUUUCUCUCUAGUCACGCACUUCAAUUGACUGAUUGUGUGUGUGGAGCUUAUACACCAAAUUCUUCAGUGUUCUGGAUAUUAACUGGGUAUCCCAAAAUGUUAUUCUGACACUACCUGGAGCUCACACAGACCCUGCAAGUUAGGUGCUCAGUCCCAUGAGACUACCCUCAUUUCAGAUGCCAAUGGCAAGUAUUAGGUUUUCACCUGUACUUUUGACCAACUUAUUACAAAUCAGAGGUUCUCAUGACCCCCUUCUUUGAUUUAAUCACUUGCUGGAACAGCUUACAGAACUCAGAAAAACAGUUUAUUUUCUUUUUUUCUUAGAAACAUGGCCUCAUUUUGUU